AACUCAGCCUGUACGCCGUGUGGAACGCCUCGACGCUGCUGGGGUCGCUGGCGGGUGGCCGUGCUGCCGGACCCGCAGCACUGGGGGUGGGCGUGAUCUUCCCGCUGGCGUUCCUGGGGUUGCUGGUGCAAGCUGCGAAAUGAAGCCCCGGUGAACGGCGGCCGUAACUAUAACGGUCCUAAGGUAGCGAAAUUCCUUGUCGGGUAAGUUCCGACCUGCACGAAAGGCGUAACGAUCUGGGC
rnacentral:ncRNA from 1 species